UGUGGUUGCUCAGGUUUGGCCUGAAGGAAUUUCAGAUGCUGAGCACCUGGACUCAAGGAAUGAGGAAGAGAAAUCUCUCAAGGUCUCAGGAUCGGGAGUGUGUCAGACCAAAGAGGAGCAAAUCUUCCUUUGAUGAGGACACAGAGUGCUGGGAUUGCAGGACCGUGCCACCACGUGCAGCUCGUGGAGUCUCAGUGACACCGUGCCCUGUGCCCACGCUCCUUCCCAGCUCUGCCUCCAUCAUGACUUGCAACUACAUCCAGGUUUUCUUCCAGAGUGCUGUCCCUUCUUUGCACAUUCCAGAGAACCGUAGACUUUGGGAGAUCUCGGCUGUUGCCUGCCAGACCCUGGUUGCUUCCCUCACAACGUCCAGAGGAAGAAUCGCCUAUCUUUUCUUGGAAACACUUGGGCCAUCUGGGACCAGUGCAUGGAUGCAGUAGACAUGUUCUUUGGACAGUGUGUCUGGACUUCCCUCCAUGGCCAGGGCUUGGACAAUGCAUGAUCAUUCCUCCUGGCUCCACCUACCCUCUUGUAAGGGCCAUUUGGACUGUACCUGCUCCAGGGAGGUUUAGAGAAGCAGCACACCUCCUCUCCCAAUCUCAGAAUUUGACCAAUAGAAGGUACAGUGGUCCUGUAAGUUACAUUGACUUGUGAGACAAACUCAGGAUUCAAAAAGCUUGACAGUGGAAGCCACCAGGCAGUCCUGGUCUUGUCUAUGUUCCUACUUGCUCCUCUGCAGGAUGAGGAAUAGUUAGGUUUGUGACAACCCCUACUACAGACAUCAAGCUUUUAGUGCACUUUCUCAGCAGCUGUCUCUGGUGAGUCAUCAGUUUGUGAGGUGCCUGAGCUCAGACUGCAUUCACACAGUGCAGGGUCAGGAGGCAGAGGAGGUACCGGCCGCGCUGCACGCUGCACUGAUGGGCUGCACCUGCACUGGGUCUAUUUCUGGUACCCACAUGCUUGGAAAACUAUAAAUGAUCCGGAACACAACACAAAAGCCAUAACACCUGCUUUGCCAAGGGCCCAGAGAAUGCUCAGCGCACAGCGGUAAAGGUUUGGGAGCUUCUAUGUAAAGGGCCACUUCAGGACAUGGGUUUACGUGAUCCCAAGGGACUGACUCAGAGACAGUCGGGUGGGAAUUUCAUGAGAAGUACCUGAGACUCACACUGUCUGCGUUGGCAGGAAGAAAGCAUCUCUGUCACUGAGGGUGUGGCCCUCUCAGAGGACCCAGGCUGGGCUGCCCCAGAGGCAGAUCAGCAAAGGUUUGGGUCCCCUCGUCCGACACUCUCUGAUUCUACUAUGUCUUCCAAAGCCAGACUGCCACUGAGGAGAAGGAACACGGAAAGAACAUCAUGGAAGAGUGCUGGCUCUUCGAGGAUUCUUCAAAGAUCUACUUCUUCACUGUGCCUGAGAAUCCCCCCAUGGAUGGAAUUUAUUCAUCUCACCUAAGAGAUCUGAUUUGCGAGAAUAAAUGCAUGGGUUCCUUUGUCAUCUUUCUUAUUUCUGUAAGGUUGGCAGUUGUGUCUCCUCUUGAUUCCGCUUUUUGUUAUUUGAAUUUUGUCUCCUUUUCUCUUGGUCUACAAAGCUAAAAUUUAUCAUUUUCUCCUCGUGUUUUUCUUCCCUUUCUCACCAUUGUGGGAUGACAGCACCGAUACAUGGGAUGUUACCUACCAUUUCCACAGCAGUGAGUUUAAGCUCGGCCAAGUAAAACAAGUUCCAUCUGAUACACAGUUAAGAUAGAUGAAACUCUGGGGGUCACAGCUGGGGGUCACAGCCACCCUCGCUCUGAGCACAGUCAGCGAACUCCAGCAGAAUCUCCAGUGUGGUCCGGCGAAGUCUUUGUCUCAGGGGUUCAGAUAUUUCCGUUUGUUUAGUGUUGCCUUCUCCUGUGUGCUUCAUCCUGCUUCCUAAACCAGCUGGUUUGCGCAGAACCAGUUCCGCCCUUGGACUUGAGCAAAUAAAGAU